AUAUUAAUAAGCGGAGGAAAAGAAACUAACUAGGAUUCCUUUAGUAACGGCGAGUGAAGAAGGAACAGCUCAAAUUUGUAAUCUCUUCGGAGAGUUGUAAUUUGAAGAAGUAUUUUCGUCAACAUGCUGGGCUAAAGUCCUUUGGGACGAGGCAUCAUAGAGGGUGAGAAUCCCGUACAUGGACCAGUGUUGUUGCGUUUGUCUAUACUUCUAAGAGUCGGGUUGUUUGGGACUGCAGCCCUAAGUGGGUGGUAUAUUCCAUCUAAAGCUAAAUACAGGCGAGAGACCAGAUAGCGCACAGAUA
rnacentral:rRNA from 1 species